rnacentral:rRNA from 1 species
CCCUUAGAUGUUCUGGGCCGCACGCGUGCUACACUGAGUGGAUCAGCGGGUCAGGUUGCGCGAAAGCGUUUCCUAAUCUUUAAAUCCGCUCGUGAUGGGGAUUGACGGUUGCAAUUUUCUGUCAUGAACGAGGAAUACCUUGUAAGCGCGGGUCAUCAUCCCGCGCUGAAUACGUCCCUGCCCUUUGUACACACCGCCCGUCGCUCCUACCGAUUGAGUGGUCCGGUGAGGCUUUGGGAUCUGAGCGAAAAGAGCGUUUCGCUGUUUCUGCUCGGAAAACUCAGUCGAACCUUAUCAUUUAGAGGAAGGAGAAGUCGUAACA